ACUCCUACGGGAGGCAGCAGUGGGGAAUAUUGCACAAUGGGCGCAAGCCUGAUGCAGCAACGCCGUGUGAGUGAAGAAGGUUUUCGGAUCGUAAAACUCUGUCCUAAGGGAAGAAACAAAUGACGGUACCUUAGGAGGAAGCCCCGGCUAACUACGUGCCAGCAGCCGCGGUAAUACGUAGGGGGCAAGCGUUAUCCGGAAUCACUGGGCGUAAAGGGUGCGUAGGCGGCUUAGCAAGCCAGGGGUGAAAGGCAUUGGCUCAACCAAUGUAAGCCUUUGGAACUGUUAAGCUUGAGUGCAGGAGAGGUAAGUGGAAUUCCUAGUGUAGAGGUGAAAUUCGUAGAUAUUAGGAGGAACACCAGUGGCGAAGGCGACUUACUGGACUGUAACUGACGCUGAUGCACGAAAGCGUGGGUAGCGAACAGGAUUAGAUACCCUGGUAGCACAGAG
rnacentral:rRNA from 1 species